rnacentral:rRNA from 1 species
UACAGAGGUGGCAAGCGUUGUUCGGAAUUACUGGGCGUAAAGCGUGCGCAGGCGGUUCGUUGUGUCCGAUGUGAAAGCCCCGGGCUUAACCUGGGAAUGGCAUUGGAAACUGGCGAGCUUGAGUGCGGCAGAGGGGGGUGGAAUUCCGCGUGUAGCAGUGAAAUGCGUAGAGAUGCGGAGGAACACCGAUGGCGAAGGCAGCCCCCUGGGUCGACACUGACGCUCAGGCACGAAAGCGUGGGGAGCAAACAGG